CCUACGGGGGGCUGCAGUCGAGAAUUUUUCUCAAUGGGGGAAACCCUGAAGGAGCGACGCCGCGUGGAGGAUGAAGGUCUUCGGAUUGUAAACUCCUGUCAUUGGUGAACAAGGGUUCUGCGUUAACUGCGCGGGACUUUGAUAGUAGCCGAAGAGGAAGAGACGGCUAACUCUGUGCCAGCAGCCGCGGUAAUACAGAGGUCUCAAGCGUUGUUCGGAUUCAUUGGGCGUAAAGGGUGCGUAGGCGGCGGGGCAAGUCUGAUGUGAAAUCCCGG
rnacentral:rRNA from 1 species